CACGCAGUAAACGAUGUUCACUCGCUGUUUGCGAUAUACUGUAAGCGGCUUAGUUAAAGCAUUAAGUGAACCACCUGGGGAGUACGAUCGCAAGGUUGAAACUCAAAGGAAUUGACGGGGGCCCGCACAAGCGGAGGAACAUGUGGUUUAAUUCGAUGAUACGCGAGGAACCUUACCUGGGCUUAAAUGCAGGAUGCAUGCUGUGGAAACACACUUCCCUUCGGGGCUUCCUGCAAGGUGC
rnacentral:rRNA from 1 species